rnacentral:lncRNA from 1 species
CACGGUCGGGCGGGGCCAUGCCCAUGCCGCCCGCUGGCUUCGUCCUCGACGACCAGGGUUGGUGCAUCGCUGCCGCCUCCAAGCACAUCGUCACCAUCCUCAGGUGCUCUACAUUUAGUUUUCUUCUAGCACAACAGUUCAUACUUGAAAUGCAUUAUCCAUGUUCAUCUUGCAAAUUUGUGCAGAUUGAUCACUUCAUUCAUUUGUAGUUCAAGCAUGGUUGCAAUUGAUGCUAGAAAUAUUCGUUUCGAACAAACAAUUGUCGCAGUUAAAAUGUGAAUUAUCAUGAUCCAACGCAAUGCUCUAGGAAAUCUACAUAUUCCCAAAAUGGUUCACAAAAUAUACUCUGUCACUCGAACUACCCUUUCAAUGCUCUCACAAAUCUGCAUAUUCCCAAGCUACCAUGACUCAUUCAUCAAGUGGCACGAAAAUUGCUACGCAACAGCUUCUGAACUUUCUGAACAUGUUUUCAAUGAUCCACUAAGAUACAAAAUUUAGGCAAUCUCACUAAGAAUAUUUUAUAUCUUCUUUUUCUGCCUCCUCCCUAACAACGCAUACUUUAUUUCUAGAGGUUCAGAAAAUUUCCACUCAUCAGCAUUUGCAGCAUCUGAGGUAUUUUUUGUCACAUUUUCAUAUUUUCUUCAACACUUGAGUGUUUACAUGUAUCAAGUUUCUUCAAUUGUUCACGGACUAUGGGAUGUAGGUUCUUUUUACCUAAUUUUACAAUAUGUAAUUUGUUUCCAUUGUUGUGUAUUACAUUAUGUAUCUUUGUUAUGCGUUUGUAUAUUUUCUGCAUAUUGUGGAUCCAAAUUUUACAAGGAAUCCUGUGUGAUGCUGAAUUUAUUCAUGUGAUGCAGAAUGUGAGAUUGUUGCAAGGCACUAGUAGUCAUGGUUUUGGGUACCGGGCGGAAUAUUCGGAUACCGCCCGGUUACCGCGUUUCUCGCCACCCCACGAGAAACCUACAUACCGAGCGAAUUCUUUUGAAUUUUUUCGAAUUUUUUGAAUUUAAACUCUGGUACUUAGGUUAGAUACUUUAGGAACUCGUUCCAAACAGACAGCGAGCUGUGGCGUAGUGGUCAGUGUGUCCUUCCUAGCUUUUCUAAGGUCUUGAGCUCGAGUACCAUUGUUGCUCGUUUUUUUAAACAAUUUUUAUGAUAAAAAGAAAGAAGCUGUGAAAAUAAUUGUUGCUGUGGCGAUUCGAUCUUGCAACCUCGAGGAAAUAGUUAUACAUACAUGACCUAACCACUGCGCCAGGCUGCUGCUGGUGACAAAAUUGAGUCCAGAACUAAUCUAUACAAUAUUAAAAAAAAUUGAAUUCAAAUUUCGUCCGAAUUUUUUCCGGGAUUUCACGGUUACCUCGGUAACCGAGAAUUUCGGUGGCCCGCGAGAAAAAAUGUGCACUUGGGAUCCAAAUCCUUGCUAGUAGUUGGGGCGCCACCCUGUGGCGCCGCUUUAAAGAAAGUUGUGAGCACGUUUUCAUUUUAAAAAAAUACAUAGAGUCCCUGCCUCCAUCUAAAACAACACCUCAAAAAAAAAUCCUCACCUUCAUCUAAAACAAGUAAAAACAAAAAACAAAAAAUUACCACAACAGUCUACCAGCGAGUGCCACUUUGCAUAACCCUCCCUUUAAAAAAAUACCAUAAGUCCUCAUCUCCAUUAAAAAAUACAUUUAAAAAAUAAUUCACACCUUCAUCUAAAAAAUUACAAAAGAUUUCUCACCGCGGCCAACCAGCUUGCGCCACGUGGCAUAGCUGGUUGGCCGCCCUUCACGCGUAGCUUAAUAGUUUUAGUGGAUAAAAUUUUUUAUGAACAGACCAGGUGCUUUAUUUGUUUGUCUGAUAUGUAUAAGUACAUGUUUAUUAUAUUGUUAUCACUAUUGAUUUUGAGACUUGAGCAAAGAGUUUGCGUCAUUGGUACUUCAGCAACAGAGUUACAAAUGAUGAGUCUUACAGUACUGUACGAACAACUUUGGGGUACAAGCUGUACACAUAGGUCUGCCAAAACAAUAUCACUAUUGCAUGUAUGCGUUGAUUACCACAUGAUAGUUACCUUGCUCUAAUGCUAGCUGGUGUUCUAGAGCUAUAUAUACAUCUAUAGGCACUCCAACUUAUUUAUACAAUUUCCGUUUGCUUAUAAUCUAUAUUAUGUUUGGCUUGCUACUCUGGUCUGGAGUGAUGUUUGUUUGUUCGUUUCUAAGCAAGCAGAUAAAUGACAGUCUAUCAAGUAUCUUACUAUUCAUACAUUGUGACUAAUAUUUUAACUUUUUUUGGCUGAUAUUCUCAGAGGUGUAGCAUGCAAAGCUUAAUAAAAUGGAUUGGGAUUUCAGAGUUGAUCUGUGAAUUGGAUUGUUACUUGGGUCAAUUGAUGGUAGCUUGGGUCAACUGAUUGUUACUUGGGUCAAUUGACUAUACUCGCAUGCAAUGUCGGAAGCAGAUGGGUCUCCCAACAAGGGGUUAAAGGCAAAAUCAAUAAAUGCUCAAACAAAUAAUGUCAGAAGAACACUUAGUUGGUAAUUUGUUGAUGAGCUGUGGGAUCACACAAAGUGUGAUAGAGGUGUACGCAGAGUCACAGACAUGGGUCAGCCUAUGUAGUUCUUGUGUCACAUAUCUGUUCUAAAAUAGUAAUUUGAGCUAAAUUCCGUUUUAUCAAUUUUGACUUCCGAGAAUUCUGAAGCCCGAUCUCAGUCUGUUACUUAAUUUGUAGUUGGCAGUUUUUAAUGGGGUUGUUGUUUGGUUUCUUCAAACAACUAUUCUGAACUGAAGCAUGCAUUUCUAAAGAUUGUUACAAUAAUGAUUU